CAUUAAUGAGUUUUGAACGAAGUUGUUCUGGUCUUUUGGGGCAAGUGAACACUUCACUCAAUCCAUCUUACACCCUGUGCACUUUUUGGAGAUGACUAUGACUGUUGAGGAGUCAAAGUUGGAUAACGACGGCAAUUCCUUAGUCUAGUCUAGUCUCUUCUUUUAUACCAAACAAUAGUCUUAAGAAAGUAAUACAUUUGCUUGAUGCAAAUUAAAAUAAAUACAACUUUCAGCAACGGAUCUCUUGGCUCUCGCAUCGAUGAAGAACGCAGCAAAAUGCGAUAAGUAAUGUGAAUUGCAGAAUUCAGUGAAUCAUCGAAUCUUUGAACGCACCUUGCACUCCUUGGUAUUCCGAGGAGUAUGCCUGUUUGAGUGUCAUGAAAUUAUCAACUUCAUAGUUCUGUUAACUAUUGCUACGAAGCUUGGAUUUGGAAGUUGCUGGCUCUUUAGUAGUCGGCUCUUCUCAAAUGUAUUAGCUGCUUGUCUGUGAGUUGGCUCAGAGUGUGAUAAGUAUCUACACUUGGUGGCUGCUUACUUGGAUGUGGCUUCUAAUAGUCCUUUUGGGACACUUUUUUAAGAUCUGACCUCAAAUCAGGUAGGACUACCCGCUGAACUUAA
rnacentral:rRNA from 1 species